AUACGUAGGUGGCAAGCGUUGUCCGGAUUUACUGGGUGUAAAGGGCGUGUAGGCGGAGAUGCAAGUCAGGAGUGAAAUCUAGGGGCUCAACCCCUAAACUGCUUUUGAAACUGUAUCCCUUGAGUAUCGGAGAGGCAGGCGGAAUUUCUAGUGUAGCGGUGAAAUGCGUAGAUAUUAGGAGGAACACCAGUGGCGAAGGCGGCCUGCUGGACGACAACUGACGCUGAGGCGCGAAAGCGUUGGGAGCAAACAGGAUUAGAUACCCUGGUAGUCCACGCUGUAAACGAUGAAUACUAGGUGUGGGGGGACUGACCCCCUCCGUGCCGCAGUUAACACAAUAAGUAUUCCACCUGGGGAGUACGAUCUCAAGAUUGAAACUCAAAGGAAUUGACGGGG
rnacentral:rRNA from 1 species